rnacentral:rRNA from 1 species
GGGCAGCAUGGUCUUAGCUUGCUAAGGCCGAUGGCGACCGGCGCACGGGUGAGUAACACGUAUCCCACCUGCCGUCUACUCUUGGACAGCCUUCUGGAAGGAAGAUUAAUACAAGAUGGCAUCAUGAGUUCACAUGUUCACAUGAUUAAAGGUAUUCCGGUAGACGAUGGGGAUGCGUUCCAUUAGAUAGUAGGCGGGGUAACGGCCCACCUAGUCUUCGAUGGAUAGGGGUUCUGAGAGGAAGGUCCCCCACAUUGGAACUGAGACACGGUCCAAACUCCUACGGGAGGCAGCAGUGAGGAAUAUUGGUCAAUGGGCGCAGGCCUGAACCAGCCAAGUAGCGUGAAGGAUGACUGCCCUAUGGGUUGUAAACUUCUUUUAUAAAGGAAUAAAGUCGGGUAUGUAUACCCGUUUGCAUGUACUUUAUGAAUAAGGAUCGGCUAACUCCGUGCCAGCAGCCGCGGUAAUACGGAGGAUUCGAGCGUUAUCCGGAUUUAUUGGGUUUAAAGGGAGCGUAGAUGGAUGUUUAAGUCAGUUGUGAAAGUUUGCGGCUCAACCGUAAAAUUGCAGUUGAUACUGGAUAUCUUGAGUGCAGUUGAGGCAGGCGGAAUUCGUGGUGUAGCGGUGAAAUGCUUAGAUAUCACGAAGAACUCCGAUUG